AUUCUGUGGAGCCCUAGGUGCAUCAUGGAUAAGAGAGAGGUGGGUCUGGGGGCUCUCUGUGCUCCCAUUCCUACUCCUACUUCAACUAGAGCAACUCCUCUUGUGUGUUUUAUAUGAUGUUUUCUGUCUCCCUCUUUCCCAUCCUCAACAGAGCUCCUGCUUUAAAAAUGUUCAAGAACCACUAAUGGAAAUUGUACAUUUGAGCAUAGUGAGCUGUCUCCAAGAACCUGAAAAUGAGGUUGACCUCUGAGAGCUAAACUGUGAAAUCCAAACUAAGGAAAGAGAUAAAAAAAAAAAAAAUAGGCAAAAUCAUUUUGAAGAAAGAGGAUGGUUCUCAGGUCUGAAUAUUAUUUGACUCAGAAAAUAAGUAAUAUUUAUAUUUCUAAAGAAAUAAUGUACCCCUCAGAAAAGACUGAAGCAAAGGCGGGGUGAUCAAUAAUAGACCAUGGAGCAAUGAAAGACAGAAAACUUCUCCAUUUCCACUCCCAAACAGAAAAACUUAAACAUAUGGAUCCAUCAGAUUAUGUUUGUUGAGCUCAGAAUGCUCUCCUUAUCUCUUGACAUUCUACCUCAACCCAAAGAGAAGAAAUUUUCUACCAAGGGAAGAAGGAAUUGAUAAUCAGAUUGGUUAAAGACAUCUUUCACUGCACCCCAUGCAGUGACCUGGGAAUGUACGUUGGAGACAAUUAGUGCUCACUGGCUCUGUACACAUUUGUGACAAAUGGAAAUCAAGUUCUGAGAGAUUAACUUGAUUUACUAGUAAGUCCUGACUCACAAAGUUAUGAGGUUAAACCAUAUGAAGCUGUCGAUAUCCAGCCAUUUUUAGCCUACAAAACUGGAGGAUACAUAUGGUUCCAUGUAGUGCUAUUCACAUGAACUGAGUUUAGAUUGAAUCUAGCUCCAGUUCUAGGCUCUUUUCAUUGUGUAGCAUUGCCCUCUUUGCAAAAUGUUUGAAAUUUAUUGAUUGGCCAUUUUUGAGAAGUGUAUUUUCUUAUUUUCUGUGAUUAAAUAAGGAAAAUUUGGAUUAGCCCUUUGAUAUUUUGCCUUGCAGUCUACAGGACCGUUGGAAAAGAUGAAGAGGUGUUUAUAAAGACUCAUUUGGAAACAAUGUGUUGGAUGGAUUGGAGAACAGGCUUAUGUAAAAAGACAAGCUCAUUCCAGCUAUUCUGCUGUACUUCCGGAGUAUAAUCUGAUUUAAGGAGUGGAAGAAGAUAAGGCCGUAGAGUAUUAGCCUGCUCGUCUGGAACAACCGCUCAUCAUCCCAUUCUGGAUGCUCCUGUUUAAGCACAUCACACACUCUGUUGUGUUCCCGCAGCCAAAUUGUGGCGUACAUCAUCAGACCAGGCACCAGACCAAAGACCUCCUGGCCCACAGCAAACCGCAGGUGUUCAGGAACGUGAGGAAGGGAAUGUUAUUGACAAUGUUCCAGACUCCCUUGAAGUGGGAUGUCCUCGGAACCACAGUAGACGGGACGGCCAUCUUGCCAGCGAAACCCAACGAAAAGCCCCUAGUAGCUGCCAGAACGAAUUGGAGGUCAACCAAUCACCGAGCGACAGCACCACCUGAUGUGAAAAAGGCCCA